AUGUCUGCCUUUUGAAGUGAGUUUCUUGGAGGCAGAUCACAUCCGCGUUGUGGUUUUUCAGUUCUGUGCGCAAUGUUUGGCGUUUUUGGGGGGUAUUUAGGCCCCUUACAUUAUGUGAAUAUAUUUUCAUUAUGGGGUUGGGCAGGUUGGAAUUCUUCGUCUGUUGUUGAGUAGUUCAGUAUAAUGUUUAGUGAUAGUCUGCCUCGGUAUGCCAGCCAUGGUGUGUGCCUGGUGAUGAGCGACUUGCGGACUGUUUGCUUGAUAUGCAUAGGUUUGGGUGUAGUGGGUUCUUGAUCCUUCUCAUGGUUUGCAACUAGGGGUAAGGAUAGGUGGGGUAUAAACCUGAGUCUCGUAGAGAGCUCAACUAUGUACAACAAUGCCCAGAUGUAGGGCUCGGUACUCCUUGGUAGUACCUGGGGUGUGGUGAGCAUGUACUUUCUGCUCACGAAGGAGGCUACCUGGGCUCCUUCAUUGUUUAGGUAUUAUCAUAUGCCCCGAAAUUCAUGCCAAGCUAGUAUCCCUGAUUAUGGGUUUGGUGCCUUAUCUUAGUAUAGGUACUGAGGUCAGAGGGAGUGCAAGUGCUGUUUUUUUUU